GACUCUCGGCAACGGAUAUCUCGGCUCUCGCAUCGAUGAAGAAUGUAGCGAAAUGCAAUACUUGGUGUGAAUUGCAGAAUCCCGUGAACCAUCGAGUCUUUGAACGCAAGUUGCGCCCCAAGCCAUUAGGCCGAGGGCACGUCUGCCUGGGUGUCA
rnacentral:rRNA from 1 species